rnacentral:rRNA from 1 species
UACGUAGGCAGCGAGCGUUGUUCGGAGUUACUGGGCGUAAAGGGUGUGUAGGCGGUUGUUUAAGUUUGGUGUGAAAUCUCCCGGCUUAACUGGGAGGGUGCGCCGAAUACUGAAUGACUAGAGUGCGGGAGAGGUGAGUGGAAUUCCUGGUGUAGCGGUGAAAUGCGUAGAUAUCAGGAGGAACACCGGCGGUGUAGACGGCUCACUGGACCGUAACUGACGCUGAGACACGAAAGCGUGGGUAGCAAACAGG